UACAGAGGGUGCGAGCGUUGUCCGGAAUCACUGGGCGUAAAGGGCGCGUAGGUGGUGGCUUAAGCGUGCGGUGAAAGCUCGGGGCUCAACCCCGAGUCGGCCGUGCGAACUGGGCUCACUGGAGCAUAGUAGAGGCAGGUGGAAUUCCGGGUGUAGCGGUGGAAUGCGUAGAGAUCCGGAAGAACACCGGUGGCGAAGGCGGCCUGCUGGGCUAUGGCUGACACUGAGGCGCGAGAGCGUGGGGAGCAAACUGG
rnacentral:rRNA from 1 species